AUUGAACGCUGGCGGCAGGCCUAACACAUGCAAGUCGAACGAGUGGCGGACGGGUGAGUAAUGUCUGGGAAACUGACUGAUGGAGGGGGAUAACUACUGGAAACGGUAGCUAAUACCGCAUACCAUCGGAUGUGCACAGAUGGGAUUAGCUAGUAGGUGGGGUAAAGGCUCACCUAGGCGACGAUCCCUAGCUGGUCUGAGAGGAUGACCAGCCACCCUGGAACGUAGACACGGUCCAGACUCCUACGGUAGGCAGCAGUGGGGAAUAUUGCACAAUGGGCGAAAGCCUGAUGCAGCCAUGCCGCGUGUAUGAAGGAGGCCUUCGGGUUGUAAAGUACUUUCAGCGGGGAGGCGUUACCCGCAGAAGAAGCACCGGCUAACUCCGUGCCAGCCGCCGCGGUAAUAC
rnacentral:rRNA from 1 species